GAAUAUUGGACAAUGGGCGAAAGCCUGAUCCAGCAAUGCCGCGUGAGUGAUGAAGGCCUUAGGGUUGUAAAGCUCUUUUACCCGGGAUGAUAAUGACAGUACCGGGAGAAUAAGCCCCGGCUAACUCCGUGCCAGCAGCCGCGGUAAUACGGAGGGGGCUAGCGUUGUUCGGAAUUACUGGGCGUAAAGCGCACGUAGGCGGAUCGUUAAGUGAGGGGUGAAAUCCCAGGGCUCAACCCUGGAACUGCCUCUCAUACUGGCGAUCUCGAGUUCGAGAGAGGUGAGUGGAAUUGCGAGUGUAGAGGUGAAAUUCGUAGAUAUUCGCAGGAACACCAGUGGCGAAGGCGGCUCACUGGCUCGAUACUGACGCUGAGGUGCGAAAGCGUGGGGAGCAAACAGG
rnacentral:rRNA from 1 species